rnacentral:rRNA from 1 species
GACGAACGCUGGCGGCGUGCUUAACACAUGCAAGUCGAACGGAAAGGCCCUGCUCUUGUGGGGCGCUCGAGUGGCGAACGGGUGUGUAACACGUGUGUACCCUGCCCUUGACUGUGGGAUAACUUCAGGAAACUGGGGAUAAUACCGGAUAGGAUCUCCUGCUGCGUGGGGGGGGUUGGAAAGUUUCGGCGGUUGGGUAUGGACUCGCGGCUUAUGCGCUUGUUGGGGGGGUAGUGGCUUACCAAGGUUUUGACGGAUAGCCGGCCUGAGAGGGUGACCGGCCACAUUGGGCCUGAGAUACGGACCAGACUCCUACGGGAGGCAGCAGUGGGAAAUAUGGCACAGUGGGGGGAGGCCUGAUGAGGAAACGCCGCGUGCGGGAUGACGGCCUUCGGGUUGUAAACGGCUUUGGACUGUGCCGAGGCGUGAGUGACGGUAAUGGGUAAAGAAGCACCGGCUAACUACGUG